UCUUUAGGAGAAAGCUGCGACAGUAAACGGAAAUAAAACCAUUUCCUCAGUCCCGGAUUUUACUGAAAGACACGAAUAUGAAUUCCGAGGUAUAGCUGUAAAUAAAGGUGGCCCUGGAGACCCCAGUGAUGCAUCUUAAGUAGUAACAUGUAAACCGAAAUUCCUUGAACCAGUAAUAGAUUCUUGCCUGAUCUGGUAGUAUGUGCUGGUAAUAAAAUAAAUUACACUUUUCCAAUUGGGGCAGCUCCUAGACCAACAGUGAAAUGGAGUGUUAAUGAAUCACCAAUUGACAGUAGCUCUAGAUUGGAUUAGCAAAUUUAUGUUUGAAAUACCAUUUUCAGUACGGAAUGACACUAGCCAUUACACACUAACAUUAGAAAAUAACUUAAUUUCUAUGUUUUCUAAUAAUUUACAAAUUCCGAAAUAAAAUUUACAGUUAUUUCCAAUUUA